GAUGAACGCUGGCGGCGUGCCUAAUACAUGCAAGUCGAGCGAACAGACGAGGAGCUUGCUCCUUCGACGUUAGCGGCGGACGGGUGAGUAACACGUAGGUAACCUACCUAUAAGACCGGGAUAACUUCGGGAAACCGGAGCUAAUACCGGAUAAUAUUUCGAACCGCAUGGUUCGAUAGUGAAAGAUGGCUUUGCUAUCACUUAUAGAUGGACCUGCGCCGUAUUAGCUAGUUGGUAAGGUAACGGCUUACCAAGGCAACGAUACGUAGCCGACCUGAGAGGGUGAUCGGCCACACUGGAACUGAGACACGGUCCAGACUCCUACGGGAGGCAGCAGUAGGGAAUCUUCCGCAAUGGGCGAAAGCCUGACGGAGCAACGCCGCGUGAGUGAUGAAGGUCUUCGGAUCGUAAAACUCUGUUAUUAGGGAAGAACAAACGUGUAAGUAACUGUGCACGUCUUGACGGUACCUAAUCAGAAAGCCACGGCUAACUACGUG
rnacentral:rRNA from 1 species